CCCGGGCCUUGUACACACCGCCCGUCACAUCACGAAAGUGGGUUGUACUAGAAGUCGGUGGGCCAACCGCAAGGGGGUAGCCGCCCAAGGUAUAACUCAUGAUUGGGGUG
rnacentral:rRNA from 1 species